rnacentral:rRNA from 1 species
GAUGAACGCUGGCGGCGUGCCUAAUACAUGCAAGUCGAGCGAACAGACGAGGAGCUUGCUCCUCUGACGUUAGCGGCGGACGGGUGAGUAACACGUGGAUAACCUACCUAUAAGACUGGGAUAACUUCGGGAAACCGGAGCUAAUACCGGAUAAUAUAUUGAACCGCAUGGUUCAAUAGUGAAAGACGGUUUUGCUGUCACUUAUAGAUGGAUCCGCGCCGCAUUAGCUAGUUGGUAAGGUAACGGCUUACCAAGGCAACGAUGCGUAGCCGACCUGAGAGGGGGACCGGCCACCGGGGACCGGAGCACGGGCCCCGACCCCUCGGGGGGGCAGGAGGGGGGAAUCUGCCGAAAGGGGGGAAAGCUUGACGGGGAAACGCCGGGGGGGUGAUGAGGGUUUUCGGAUCGUAAAACUCUUUUAUUAGGGAAAAAAAAAUGUGUAAGUAACCAUGCCCGUUUUGACGGUCCCUAAUCAGAAAGCCGGGGCAAACUCCGU